GUGCCGCGCCUCCUCCAUGUAGCACGCGUUGGUACCGGUGUCUGGUGGGAAGGACCCCAUCAGAGCCUGCCCACCAGGGCAUGAUCAUCUUAUUUGAGUCGUUCUUACUAUGGAAGCAACAUUAACCCCAAGGUCAAAACGGAUAAAAGCUGUGCACAGGGAAAGAAAGCAGGACCUUCCAGAAACACAGGCAUAACCUACAGAUGUCAAGGCCAGGACAGCGGGGGCAGCCCUCCCUCCAUCACGCUGACCUUCUCUUACCCCCUGCCUCUGAAUGGCAUCUCUUAGCAACUGGACCACAUCCUGGCCUUCCACGCCGCUGCACCUAAAACCUUUUGUCCAGGAAAUGAGGGUGCUCUGGGGACAGAGAAGCUGGGUUAUUUUUUUCUCCCUGUGGCCUUCACAAGGGCCGUAGUAGCUUUCCGCUCACUGACCCCAUGUGCCCCCCAACCUCACCCUGUCCAAGCCUGUCUGGUGACAAGGAAAAGAGAAAUUGAACCCAAGCUUCAGACCCUGAUUCUCCACGGGGUAUGCAUCCAGGAAUUCAGAGAGGCAUCGGGCAGCAAAGUCAAAGAGCUAUGGGAACAAGAAGCGUGCUUAGCUCUGACCGCCCAGCCAAGUCUCCAGCCCCAGACGAGGCACCCUGACUGCUCACCUGCUGGCCAGCACCUAGGAUCACCUCUUGAGGAAUCACAAACUCCCGGCUCCUGGGCUCCACCCGGCAUUCUUUGGUGCCUGUCAGUGUUACCCACAACACACGUAGUGAUGCUCCUGUGGCCCCCAGCUCCAGCACCAGGAAAUCCCCUUGCUCUAGACGGCAGACAGGUCAUAGAAAGACAUGCAGUUGGCAAAGCUGCCUGCCUCCCAGGAAAGCUUCCAGAGUCUGAGAGGGCCAUUGAAAAGGGCCUCAGAGAUGGUGGACAGAAGUAAGGAACUUCCCCCAUCCCCCAGUCAGAGCACAUUCCCCGUGUCUGGCCGCCCAUCCGAGUCUGUGUUACCCACCGGUGCCGUGUGGUGUGGACCUCACGUAUGUGGGCAGCAUCCGGACAGAAGGAGCGGGACUGUCCUGUCCCUUCAGUGCCUGCUCCAUGGAGCACAGGAGACUGGCUUGGAUCUGCUGCAACUGUGUCCUGGUCACCUUGAAUUGCUGCAAGCAUUCCUGCAUGUGGGAAGAAGAAGCAAGCCAACACUGGGGAGGUAGCCACUCUCUGACUUCAGCUGGGACAGGACUGUCCUACCCAACUUGCCCCCUGCCUUCUUAGGCCCUCUGCUUCCUGGGGGCUGCCUAGCAUCCUGUUCCAUUCUCCCUGAGCCCCACUGGCCCUCCAGUCCCCCUUCUUGCAGCUCCUCUCACCUCGACUCGCUUGCUGUUCAAAGGCUACUCCAAGCUCAUGUAUCCUGCGAGGGUCACAAGGAAGAGAAGCCACCUCUCUCUUGUGCUCCAUAUCCUGGUGACUUCCUCUCGGCUCCUGAAUUCUCUACCGUUUCAUCUAGCUUUUUUUAAUGUAAGGUUUGGUGAAGUCUCUCU
rnacentral:lncRNA from 1 species